CAAAACAUCGCCUCUUGAAUAAAUAUAAGAGGUCCAGCCUGCCCAGUGACAAAGUUCAACGGCCGCGGUACCCUAACCGCGCGAAGGUAGCAUAAUCACUUGUUCUUUAAAUGGGGACUAGUAUCAACGGCAUCACGAGGGUCCUACUGUCUCCUCCCUCCAAUCAAUGAAACUGAUCUCUCCGUGAAGAAGCGGAGAUUUAACUAUAAGACGAGAAGACCCCAUGGAGCUUUAAACCCUACUGCACCCCCACUUCUUAUACCCUUAUAACCAAAGGGGCCCUGCACGUCGGUUUUAGGUUGGGGUGACCGCGGAGCACAAAUCAACCUCCACGAUGAACGGGACUAACCCCUUAUCUAAGAAGCACACCUCUAAGAAUUAGCACACUAACAUAAAAUGAUCCGACAUUCGAUCAACGAACCAAGUUACCCUGGGGAUAACAGCGCAAUCCACUUCAAGAGCCCCUAUCCACAAGUGGGUUUACGACCUCGAUGUUGGAUCAGGGUAUCCUAGUGGUGCAGCAGCUACUAAAGGUUCGUUUGUUCAACGAUUAAAACCCUACGUGAUCUGA
rnacentral:rRNA from 1 species